GCUGUAAAAGAUAACAACAGUAUUAAUUGCUUAUAUUUCAUUGCUUUUGUUUUUGGUCAUACGUCCUAUUUUCAUCCUAUGGAAAUUAAUAACGUUUUCUCCCUCUCUAUAUAAUCCAAACAUUUUAUUUGCAAUAAUAGAGUGGUAGUGCUUCAUGGCAUUCGUAAUGAGAGUGGUAGUGAUUCAUCUCUUAAUCAGUUUGUUGCUUCUUCAACUGAUCAAAGGAGAUGAUGAUGAUGAUACACAAAAAAUAUUAUUAAUAAAGCUUGAAAAACCAAAAUUACAGAAAUGCAGAAUUGAUAGAAUUUAUCAGUUUGGUGAUUCACUUUCGGAUACUGGAAACUGUCUGAGAGAGAGCUAUUGUGGAGCUCAAACUAAAACCGGAAAACUUCCUUAUGGGAUGAAUUUUUACCAGAAUGCAACGGGACGUUGUUCUGAUGGAUUCAUCAUCCUUGAUUACAUAGCGAUGGAAUGUGGUCUUCCUCUCCUAAAUCCGUCGUUAGA